rnacentral:rRNA from 1 species
UACGUAGGGUGCGAGCGUUGUCCGGAAUUACUGGGCGUAAAGAGCUUGUAGGUGGUUUGUCGCGUUGUUCGUGAAAUCUCACGGCUUAACUGUGAGCGUGCGGGCGAUACGGGCAGACUAGAGUACUGCAGGGGAGACUGGAAUUCCUGGUGUAGCGGUGGAAUGCGCAGAUAUCAGGAGGAACACCGGUGGCGAAGGCGGGUCUCUGGGCCGAUACUGACGCUGAGGAGCGAAAGCGUGGGGAGCGAACAGG